UUAUCCCGUCUCAUGCGCUUUAAUUCUUCAUUUCAUCCCAAAUUCUGUAUUUUCAUUAUUUUUCAAGUAUAAUUACGUUUACUAAUUUAAUUUUGUGUUUUUAGGUAGUAAAUAAAGCUUGGAUGCUUAGAGAAGCAAAAGGAGCUGGAAAUUAGAGGCCAACGGCUGAAAAGAAGAAGGUUCCGCUAAACUAGUGUAACAGAAAUAUCACACAAUAGGCUGUUGUCGUCUUCUAUCUUACUUGCAAUCCGUUUGUGCAACUACAUCUAGCAGUGGGCUUAGGGGAAGAAUUGGGCUUGGAAAGAAGUCAAGGCAAGGUCUUAACCGGUUUUUAUAUAUGGUACAUCAAAACUGGAUGUAAUGCACAACGCCUUAGCAUCGCCUGUUUUUCUCCCCUAAAUUCUCUUCACGACCAGGAAACCUAAUUCAUUUCUCACCAUUACUUCUACGGACAACAGAACUACCUUCAUCUCUUCCUUCCCCAUCUCUAUCAACCCAUACCCCUGUCUACUGCAUCCACCAAACCACAAUAAAUCUACCUUUUCUCUUCCCCAUUUCACACUCGACUCCCAUUUUCUCACCUUGCUGUCCGUAUCCUAUUUGGAUACUCCCUUGGAGCUGCAACUAGGUUUACUUCUUUUGACAAGAGAAUGGGUAUGAGAGGUCAAUCUCUGAAUUAUGUUGAGACAAUUCAAGGAGAUAAUUACAACAAGUAAGGGAAUAGAAGAAAUCUGAAAUUGUUGGAGUGAAGUAUAAGUUGACGUAUGAAAUCAGUUGAAGACUCCUUCAAUUGUAGCUUGUAUGUGAUGUCGAUGGAGUGGUUGGUGAUGAUGAAAUCCGUAUAUUUUGCGUUGUCAUUUGGUGCGUACAAAGUUGCUGCGCAAGUCAGGGAGGAAAAAUAGAAGGAGCAGAACAAGUCUGGUAGUAGGCUAGUAGCGCACUCUCCCGAAACUGUACCGCGGUAGUAAAUAAAGCUUGGAUGCUUAGAGAAGCAAAAGGAGCGGGAAAUUAGUGGCCAACGGCAGAAAAGAAGAGGGUUCCGCUAAAAUAGUGUAACAGAAAUAUCACACAACAGGCUGUUAUCGUCUUCGAUCUUGCUUGCAAUCCGUUUGUGCAACUACAUCUAGCAGUGGGCUUAGGGGAAGAAUUGGGCUUGGAAAGAAGUCAAGGCAAGGUCUUAACCGGUUUUUAUAUAUGGUACAUCAAAACUGGAUGUAAUGCACAACGCCUUAGCAUCGCCUUUUUUUCUCCCCUAAAUUCCCUUCACGACCAGGAAACCUAAUUCAUUUCUCACCAUUACUUCUACGGACAACAGAACUACCUUCAUCUCUUCCUUCCCCAUCUCUAUCAACCCAUACCCCUGUCUACUGCAUCCACCAAACCACAAUAAAUCUACCUUUUCUCUUCCCCAUUUCACACUCGACUCCCAUUUUCUCACCUUGUUGUCCGUAUCCUAUUUGGAUACUCCCUUGGAGCUGCAACUAGGUUUAAUUCUUUUGACAAGAGAAUGGGUAUGAGAGGUCAAUCUCUGAAUUACGUUGAGACAAUUCAAGGAGAUAAUUACAACAAGUAAGGGAACAGAAGAAAUCUGAAAUUGUUGGAGUGAAGUAUAAGUUGCCGUAUGAAAUCAGUUGAAGACUCCUUCAAUUAUAGCUUGUAUGUGAUGUCGAUGGAGUGGUUGGUGAUGAUGAAAUCCGUAUAUUUUGCGUUGUCAUUUGGUGAGUGAUGGAUAUCUCAAUCCCUAAUUUUCUGAUUGAACUUUACUGAAAAUGGGUUUGAGAAUAGGGAGAAUUUUGUAUAAAUAGGGAGGCAGAUGUAUGUUGAAAGGCAAGCCCGGGUUAGCCGGUGCAAUCUGUUGUUGUUAGGUUUAGGUUUAAUUUCAAUUUUACUUAUGUUCUAAAAAUCUCUGCUAGGGCAGAGAUGAAACCCCUUUAUUAAUUAGAAUUUCUCUUGUUUGAUUUCACUUCUUCUCCAUGGAAUUUUAUUGAAAAGCAUGACUUGAUUUCUGAAGA